AAGUUCUUUUAUUUUUUUUGUAAGUUUUAAAGAAGACUAUACCAUACAAAAUAUAAAUGCAUGCAUAGGUUAUGUUAUAUUACAUAAGAUAACUGAAUUUAAACUAGUGAUACUGACGACAUAAUUAGAUUUCUACUGGUUAUAUAUAUUUAAUCCACAACUCAAGCACUCUCUAAAUAAUCUAGUAUUGUCAACUACUUUACUUCUGCCACAGCCCCAUACCUUAAUUUUAUGCGAAGAUGUCUUUACCUCAAAUAUAGACAUGCAUUUUGGGCUAAAGCCUUUCCCCUUUGCUAAACUCGAAAGUAUCACA